rnacentral:rRNA from 1 species
GACGAACGCUGGCGGCGUGCCUAAUACAUGCAAGUCGAACGCUUCUUUCCUCCCGAGUGCUUGCACUCAAUUGGAAAGAGGAGUGGCGGACGGGUGAGUAACACGUGGGUAACCUACCCAUCAGAGGGGGAUAACACUUGGAAACAGGUGCUAAUACCGCAUAACAGUUUAUGCCGCAUGGCAUAAGAGUGAAAGGCGCUUUCGUGUGUCGCUGAUGGAUGGACCCGCGGUGCAUUAGCUAGUUGGUGAGGUAACGGCUCACCAAGGCCACGAUGCAUAGCCGACCUGAGAGGGUGAUCGGCCACACUGGAACUGAGACACGGCCCAGACUCCUACGGGAGGCAGCAGUAGGGAAUCUUCGGCAAUGGACGAAAGUCUGACCGAGCAACGCCGCGUGAGUGAAGAAGGUUUUCGGAUCGUAAAACUCUGUUGUUAGAGAAGAACAAGGACGUUAGUAACUGAACGUCGCCUGACGGUAUCUAACCAGAAAGCCACGGCUAACUACGUG